CUUGUUUUGUCUUCCUGGUAGAGAUGCCUGUGAGUGCAGAGAGGCCUUCUAUGGGAGAUUCAAUGAUGAUUCUGUAGGCAAAGGGUUUCUCUACAGCUCUCCAUGGUGUAUCCCAAUGAAAAGAGAUGGUCCAUGGUUUUAAGACAUUUAUUGUCAUGGCAGAAAGUGGAUGAGUAAAACUCUACCCCACUUCUCAAGGUGGGCCUGUGAUUAAGUACCUUUUUCAGGGAGAAGUGUCUGGUAAGGAAAGGUUCAUUUGCUAAGCUGCUAGGCCUUUAGGUUCUUCCUUAUAAUGGAGAUCUGUCUUGAGCCUAUGUGACCUGUUUCAUGCCCUUUACCUGUGGAAGGCUUGGGGCAUUGCUCUUAUGGGGUUGAUAACCACAAAUAUAUGGAGGACUAUAGCUAGUGACUGUCCAAGUGUCCUGGGAGUCAGGCAAAGCUCCUACCAUUUCUUUCAGUGUCCCUGAGGCCUCAAGCCUCCUGAACAGGAACCAGGGUUCCUUUCAUCAUCCCUCAAGCAAUCUGGUUGGGAGUAGAUUCAAACACCAUUUUCAAUUAUGAUAAUUGCCUGGGUUGCUUAAUCCUUUCAACCUUACCACAUUUUCUUUGUGGUGGCACAAUCCACUCCCCCACAAUCACCUGCCACUGUCCUUCCACCACCCUCUCUAGCAUCUCUUUCACUUUCCAUAGGUCCCAGUCUGGGUGAGGUAUUUUAGGGUUCCAUCUGGGCUCUGGGUGUUGUCACUAUGGAAGAGAAAGCAGGAAGUAUGUGGGUAGGUGGUGUUACAUGAACAAGGAAGAGAGGGAUAGUUUUCAUCCAGGACAUUAAGUACUACAUGAGGGGAGCCUGCAGUAUGUGUUAUCUAAGAGAUGUUUCUGCAAAGGGAGGCAUCAGAAAUAAAUAGGAAGGCUUGAACCUUUUCCUUCUCACCACUGUCUAUUAUGGAAUAACCAACUUGCCCAUAAAAUCAGAGAGUCUGAACCCUGGUGUCUUGUCAAGAACUGGAGUCUGAAGCGUCACUGAGCCUGGUCUGAGGGAGGCAAUGUUUGCUCAGGAUGAAGACUGGGGAUGGUCGUGGAAUCUGGGUGGCUCCAUUGAGAUCCCUUUUUCCUUCUGCUUCUGCUGGGAGUUGGCCAAGUAUCCACAGAUGAGCAUAGCCUGGAGAUGGAAAGACUACCAUGGAAAAUUCAUCUACAACUCCACUCUACCUUUCAUUCAUGAGCACUUCGAGGACAGGCUCAUUCUGAACUAGACAAAGAGUUAGAUAUCUGGACUCCUCAGAAUCCUUAACUUGAGGGAGAAUGACCAGGCCACACACUUCUGUAACAUCUGCCUGAGCACCACAGAAGAUAGGAAGAGAUGGCAGUCGAUUCCUGGGGCCCAACUCUCCAUCGUCCAUGCACUCAGCACCACCAUGAGGAUCCCCUACAUCAUCUCUUCUGCAGUCUUCACAACUGGUCUGGAGGACACAGGAGGUCAGAUGAAUCAUUCACUGCCGAAUCUGGUAGCCAUAGAUGGGAUGAUCAUGGCAAAAUGUUGUGGCCACCUUCCCCAUCUACGGGUGGAUGAUCUUUCUGUUGUGGAAGCAAAGGUAAGUGGUCCAUGACAGGCCUCAUCUGAACUUCCCACUGGGAGUGUUCUCAGCAGUGGGAGAUGGAGAAUGGCAGACUUGUGCAGGGAACAGUAACGAGAACAAAAUAAGUGAAAUGUGCCUGAACUUGACAAGGACUGCAUCUAUGAAGCCUGUUGUCCUUCCUGACCACCUGGAAAUUAGAGGAACAAAUGCAGAUGAACACAGAGCCUGCUCCUAAGGAAUUCAAGGAGGCAUGCAGAAGUCUCAGGGGCUGACUGCACAUCUGGAAUGAGCUGUGGCUCCUAAGGAAUAUCUGAGAGUAGACCAGCAUUUGCAGACAACAUGGUAAGGGCAUUGAUACAUAUAAAAAGUAACACCUCUUUUCGUUGGGCAUGUGUCACUAGAAUGGAAAGUAAUAGACCCAUAAACAGAAAGAAAUCUAUAUGCAGAACCUAUCACUACAACAAGAGAAAGAGUUGGACACUAGAAAUCUAAUCCUCUUGAGCAAAAAUAUGAAACACCUAUUGCAGGGUCUCAGUUGAAGUGAUUGCCCCACGAAGAGGGACAUGAGUAUCCCAUAAACCACAUAAAGAGUUGUCAGAUACUUGGACAGGCAGAGACACUAUGAUUCCUGGGGAUCACUGUGCUGUAAGCCUUACCUUGUGGGUGAGAACUAUGACUGUCCUGUCUCAAAAUCAUGAGAGAACGUCUCCCAAAGGACAAUGUCAAGGUUUUCCUCUACCAUCCACAUGUGUCUGCACAUAUGCAAAUAUACACAAGUGUCUCUUAAAGUAAAUUUUAAGAAACACUGGAGAAAUAUUUUAAAUGUAGUGAUAUUUGCAGAAUGGCAAAUUUUAUACAUGAAGUUCUGACAACACACAUGCACACACACACACAUAGCUAAAAAUACAAUGAAUUUCCUGUUUGAAAUACAAAUGCAUUUCUGUAAAAAUAAAUUAUUUGUCUUCAAACAUUCAUGGUUACUCUAAGAAAUAAAAAUGGGGACACAGAGGGGGACACAAUAAUCUCAGCCGGAGGAUAAUGCAGAGUGGUUCAAGGUUAUCUACAGUUGCAUAGCACCAUGGGUCACUAGGCUCCAAAGACCUUGUACACACAUUACAAGACUCAAGUGUGGACUGAGGUCAUAGUGGAUUUAAAGCCGUGGGACCUAGAAGACUAAACAAUAAGGACCUAUAUGCAUGAAUGGUAGAGGGUUUGCAAAUACCAUUUAACAAUGUUAAAUAUUAAGU
rnacentral:sRNA from 1 species